rnacentral:rRNA from 1 species
UAAUACAUCGGAAAGUGCCCAAUCGUGGGGGAUAACGCAGCGAAAGCUGUGCUAAUACCGCAUACGAUCUACGGAUGAAAGCAGGGGAUCGCAAGACCUUGCGCGAAUGGAGCGGCCGAUGGCAGAUUAGGUAGUUGGUGAGGUAAAGGCUCACCAAGCCUUCGAUCUGUAGCUGGUCUGAGAGGACGACCAGCCACACUGGGACUGAGACACGGCCCAGACUCCUACGGGAGGCAGCAGGU